UUCCUUUUGAUUUCUCUCACUCAAUUUUGGUUAGUGGCACUCUGGCUGAAUUUUUAUUUUAGGGGACACACAGUAAUCUUCAUCAUCAAUGAGCACACGGGGGCGAAUGCUAUGCCCAUGAGCACCUCCUCCAUGUUGUCCACUAUGGCCAAAGAGACCACGACGAGAGUUGGCUGAGCUAUGUUGUUUAGCCCGACCGCGCACCACAGGAAGAUGUUCAUCAAACACCUUCUCCAUUACCUCCACUAGUGAGUUUUGUAGUUGGCGUAACUCAGCCCGCGAAACUGAUGUUUCUUUUUCUCUAUAUCAACCACCAUGAACGCUCGAAUUUGAUCCUGGCAUGUUAGCAAUUAUGCAAGAUAUAGUGGAAUGGGUAAAUUUGUGGAAUCACACAAUCUCACCUCUUACUUACCAAUGCUCUUUCCUGUUCUCAAGGACAGUGAAUUGUGCUAGUGUAGCAGCUCAACAGAAGUGAUUCUGAGUUCGCAAGGAUUACGAGUCAAAUGUCCUGGUUUCAGUUUUUGGUGGAGCUAUAGGUGGCUAAACAAGGGAGGCUACGGUACUGAAAAUCAAGUGGUUUGAUGUGGUCAAAAGAUAUAAUGUUGCUGGUAUAUAAAUCCCCAAGAAUCUGAAUAUGUAAACUAAAUUUUCAGUGAGCAAACCGCAAUAUAACCCCUUUCCUCUUCUUUUACUUUUCUUUUGGACCUUUCUAUCUCUGUUUUUUUUCUCUGAACUUUUUUUGCUCUGAUUUUUAACUAUUUUUUUACUAACAGGGGUGUGGAUACAAAUGAAACACGAUACAAAAUAUGUAAAGAUGGUGACUAGCAACUUGAUGAACACAAAAACACAAGAUAACAGUAUCGACAAAGGUCUAUAGGAUUUUUUUGUGGCUUUUUCAGUGGACUAUAGGUGAUGAACAAAUCAGUAACAAACGAUAUAUAAACUAAGGUAGAUAUGUGGAUGAUUGUGAGACCUACCGUGACAACGAAAUCUUUGAUACUAGUUGAUAGGAUACCAAUAUGAAUCGGCACGAGGGUG
rnacentral:lncRNA from 1 species